rnacentral:tRNA from 1 species
GCCGUGGUGGUGGAAUUGGUAGACACGCCAUCUUGAGGGGGUGGUGGCCAAAGGCUGUGCGGGUUCGAGUCCCGCUCACGGCACCA